GACGAACGCUGGCGGCGUGCCUAACACAUGCAAGUCGAACGGGGAGUUAGCAAUAACUCCUAGUGGCGUACGGGUGAGUAACGCGUAGACAACCUGCCUCUAAACUGGGGACAACACCGCGAAAGUGGUGCGAAUACCGAAUGUGGUAACUUGAUCGCAUGAUCGAGUUAAGAAAGAUGGCCUCUAUUUAUAAGCUAUCGAUUAGAGAUGGGUCUGCGUGUGAUUAGCUAGUUGGUGAGGUAAUGGCUCACCAAGGCGACGAUCAGUAGCCGGGAUGAGAGGAUGAACAGCCACACUGGGAAUGAGACACGGCCCAGACACCUACGGGGGGCAUCCGUUGGGAAUCGUCCGCAAUGGACGAGAGGCUGACGGAACAACGCCGGGUGAGUGGAGAAGGGCGUCGGAGUGGAAAGCUCUGUCGUGUGGGACGAACGCUGGUAGUGUGAAUAAUGCUAGCUAAUGACGGUACCAAAGGAGGAAGCCACGGCUAACUACGUGCCAGCCGCCGCGGUAA
rnacentral:rRNA from 1 species